rnacentral:rRNA from 1 species
CAGCAGCCGCGGUAAUACGGAGGGUGCAAGCGUUAAUCGGAAUUACUGGGCGUAAAGCGCACGCAGGCGGUCUGACAAGUCAGAUGUGAAAUCCCCGGGCUUAACCUGGGAACUGCAUUUGAAACUGUCAGGCUGGAGUCUUGUAGAGGGGGGUAGAAUUCCAGGUGUAGCGGUGAAAUGCGUAGAGAUCUGGAGGAAUACCGAUGGCGAAGGCAGCCAUCUGGCCUAAUACUGACGCUGAGGUACGAAAGCAUGGGGAGCAAACAGGAUUAGAUACCCCGGUAGUCCCUGUCUCUUAUAC